rnacentral:misc_RNA from 1 species
AUGCCCGCAGUCGGUUGUCACGCCAGAAAAAAAUGUGAAUUUUGGAAUUAAUUAUUUGUUGAUUUAACAUAGUAAAUAAAGCUAUUUUUACAAUAUUUUAACGUUAAAACGUAGUUUAGGACUUUGUGCACAGUGUGGAGUGGUUAUUUGGAGUGUUUUAGUGGGAAAUAUGUGCAGUUUUAAGAUACUUUAAAGGACUCAGGCACCAAGAUGGACCCUUUAAGCAACUAUGAUUAUUCAUACAGUAACUAUGACCAGAUGCCGACUCACGACUUCAUGUACAGCGUCAAAAUGGAACCGUUACACCAAGCCGUUACCAACCAUAUCCCCGACCCGUAUGCUAACAUGUACCCUACGGAUUACCAAAACAACGAUAAACCAGUAACGGGAACAGAAAACCAAGUAACGGAAUCAAAUAAUGACAUUGGUGAGACUGCACAAGGAAAUGAAAACCAAAAGCAAGUUGACGAAGAAGACAGCAAGGAACAUCUGAAGUAUUUAACGGAACCGAAGAGACGGCUAAAGCGAAAAGGCAAAACUAGUACAUAUUGGAAUAAAAAAGUUGAAGAUAAAAACUUUCCUUUCUACGGUUGCACUAUUUGCAAUGUAAGUUUUUCAACGAUUCAAGAUUUGGACCAACAUGUAACUGUGCAUAAAGGUAGGAUAACGAGUUACGAUAUAAGAGUACGUAACCAGAUCAAAAGAAAGGAAAAGAUUAAAGAAAUGAAACGGCUAAAGAAAUUGGGGAAGAAAAUAAAGACGGAAGGCCUUACGGACAUAGAAAUUAAACCGGAAGAUGGUUACAUUGGUAACGAGGAGGCUUCAAAAUAUAACGAUUCAGAGAAAAACGAUCAUGUUAACAACGAGAACACGGAUAUAAAUUCUGAAAAUGUGAACCAGAAUGUGGUUAAUAACGAGAAUGGUGCUACAACAGCCUCGAAGCGAGGGAAGGGUGGAAAAAAAAACAAUAAAAAAUCAAAAUUAGGAGUCCCCGAAGAUCCACGAUUGCUGAAGUUGUUCAAAUGUUUUGCAUGUCAAAAACAAUUCUCGUUAAGCUAUUACCUGAAGUUACAUGUCAGAUCGCAUACAGAUGAGAAGCCCUACACAUGCGCCGAAUGCGGACAGUCGUUUAUAACAGCGAGCAAACUCGGGCGACACAACAAGAGAAUACAUCUCGCCAUCAAAUUCCAAUGUCGGAUCUGCUACAGAUUUUUUUCCAGAUUCGACAUUCUUACGCGGCAUUUCGACAAAGCACAUAAAGAGGAAAAAUUAGAGGGCGAACCGUAUGAUUACAACGCCAUCCUUCCUUACCUGAAGGAAUUAGAAGAACAAUUAAGAGAAAAGGCAGAUAAAGAUAAAAUCCAAGACCAAAUAGACCCCAAGACAGAAGACGAAAAGACCGCAGUAAACGAGAAGACCGUAGAAGACCAGAAGUCGAAGAGUGACCCUUGGCCCUUUGCCCAGAGCGUUAAUAAGGAUUCCAUUGACGUUCUGGAUAAUAAGGGUCUCUCUGAUGACCUGGUGCAAGGAGAUAAUCCGUACCUAGAGGACAAAGAUAGGGAUAGAGAUUACGAACCGGAGGAGGAAAUAUUGGUGGAGGCGGUGAAGGUACUCCCAGAGGCCGUGGACAUCAAGGAGGAGGACCAGGAGGAGAGCCAGUCCUUGGCUGACAUCAGGGAUGACAGCUUUUCGGACGACGACUAUUUCCCCUCGAACACGUGGGCGGCCACCCCCAAAAUAGAACUGCCCCCCACAACAGCGCCCCCUAAGAAAAGAAAACAAUCCGAGUUCCCGAUAAAGUGUGAAAUGUGUGAAAAAAUUAUAAAGACCCCAUCGUACUACAGAGUGCAUUUACGAACGCAUUCCGGCGAGAAACCAUUUUCAUGCUACAUAUGUAAACGGGGCUUUAUAACGUCGAGUAAGAUGCAUCGGCACGUUUUGACACAUGACGAGCAUCGGAGUGAUAAAGACUUGGAUGUGGUUAAAACUGAGGAUGGCGCCGAAGUGAAAGAAGAAACCGACGAAGAAGAAACUAGGACCAAUAAGAAAAAGAAAAAUGUAACCAAAGAAAUCAUCCUGGGGAAGAAGUCUACUGGAAGGAAGAAGAGGGAAUAUAGGAAACGGCCGCACGCAUGCUUGUACUGCAACAAACGCUUCCUGCAUCGGGAGACUUUGUAUGUCCACAAGAAGUGUCACGAAGGUGAGACCCUGGUCCUCAAGUGCAACUUCUGCCUGGAGGUGAUGCCAGAUGAAGACACGCUAAGGGAUCAUGAGCAGGAACACACCGGACCGAAGCCCUAUUUAUGUACUAUAUGUCUACGCAGCUACACCAAGCGGGAGGCGAUGGUAUACCACAGGAAGUCCCACGGCGAAGACCCUAAGGAGAAGAACGAGUUUGUCUGUGAUAUUUGUUCUAAAUCGUUCAACGCUAAAUGCAAGCUUCAGAGGCACAUAAUCAGUCACAAAGUGGACAAGUUUGUCCUGCGUUACGAGUGUCCUGUCUGCGCGCACAUGUUCAACACAAAAUAUCACGUGCAAAUGCAUUUAUCCACUCACAUGAAGGAGGGAUUGAUCAUGGAGGAGAACCGCAGUGAGAUCCUGGCGAUGGUGCUGCAGAACGCACGCAAGAUACCCAAGAAGACCGACGCGACUGACAACUUCACCUACCUCAUUCCCGCGGACGAGAGGUCCCGCGUCUGCAACAUUUGUGGACAGGUAUUCCAACAUUUCUACUACUUAGAGGAACAUCUGAAGAGUCACGGCUCGAAAAUAGCUAUUGAGGACGACACGAAAGCCGAAGACAAGAAGCACAUAUGCCCCGUUUGCAAUAAAGGCUUUAAACUCCACUAUCUCCGGACAUCGACCGGUCACUGUGGAGAAUGACCAGUCCCUUUCUUUUUCAACGGAUAAGAAAAUGACAGGUAUAACUUAAAAUAAAAUUAGAUGGUGUUUGCAGGAAUUAGCACCAUUGUUUUGGUUAUUUUACACUGGUACUAAUACCUACAGACGCCAUCUAAUUUUAUUUUAAGUUAUACCUGUCAUUUUCUUAUCCCUUGAAAAAGAAAGGGACGGGUAAUCGCCAAGCAUAAAAUUUAUGGAACACACGCCAAUUUUAAGCAUAAAUCUAAAACCGUCUAAAAAUUUUACAUCGGCCAAUAAUCCGACGGACUCAAGUAGACAGCACGUCAAACGGAUUGCGUAUCAGCGAGAUGCCUAUUUUAUUCGCCCGGGUUAUUCAUUCGUUUUAAAAUUAACUUGUUGACAAUCAUCCGUCCCUUUCCUUUUCGGCGGAUAAGAAAAUGACGGGUAUAACUUAAAAUAAAAUUAGGAGGUGUCUGCAGGAAUCGGGGCCAUUU